UAGAGUUAAUAAAUGUGACGCAUUAAAGGAAAAUUAAAAGAGGAAUGCCAAUACCAUUGGUAAUUGCACCAUAUAUUCAAAACAACAAUAAAGUCACAUUAUUAUAGUAAUCUUCUAUUUGAAAAACAUUAAUAAAUGAUGGUAGGCCUCAGAAUUGCAGAAUUGACAGCAAGGCCUUGAGGGCCAUUCAGUCCCGAAAGAUGGUGUUCUUUAUAAUUCAUCUCCUCACAGACCAAAUAUAUUUUCAGUAGCAAUAAAAAUUGAAUGUAUUUCUCAUGGCCAAUCCCAAGUAGCAAUCGCAGAGACUCUGCUCUACAAGGCGAUAGGAUAUGAGAUCGCUCCUCUUUGGACAAAAAACAGGAGAAAACAAGCCUCAACUGCUAACAUCAACAAAGAGGGCUUGUUCUAUGAUGAUAUUUAUACACUUUGGGUUAUGCGAAUAUUAAAUUAACUCGCCCCAAUUCUAUAGUGUAUCAUCAAAAUAACAUUAAUUCUAUCUGUAUGGCAUAUGAAAACUACUUAUGAAAAUAACGAUAUGAAAUACUAUAAUAUAAUAUUUGUAUGACUUUAAGGAUAAAAUCACUAAAGCUUCUAAACAUCAAAAUUGAAUUAUAAAAAGUGUGAAGUAAAUGUGAGAUGAAAUUAGUAGACAAGAACCAUUAGGAACCCAUCUGUGGAUUCAUCUCAGCGGUUGUCUGGCCGCCGCUGAUAAAUUCAGCUUUCCCUUUAUGCACUGUCGUUUAAGAACCGCACUAUUUCAUAAAUUAGCGAAGCCCUAUAUUAAUGCCAGUGCAAUUACAUACUAAAUUUCUACAACGAUGGCUAUCAUUGAAAGGAAUAUUGCAAAAAUAAAUAAUUUAGCGAAGCACUAUAUUAAUGCCAGUGCAAUUACAUACUAAAUUUCAACAACGAUGGCUAAAUUUGAAAGGAAUAUUGAAAAAAUAAACUGCAGCACUACAGCUUACAGAAAAGGGCGGCCAUUGAAUUGGCAGAGCAGAAUCGGCUAUGAAGAAAAACCCUAGAUGAAUGAUGAAGUUUACAGUAGAGGGAAGAGGAGCUUUUAUAGAUGGGGUUCGGUGGUUAGGUCUAGCGGCUGCCUUAAAAUGGGCUUGUUUUGUUAAAUGUGGGCCGGUUUUUCAAUUUUAGCCUAGG
rnacentral:lncRNA from 1 species